GGAGAUCCUGGGGAUCUGUCAACAGAUCACAGGGAACCUCCAGGCUGCUCUAUACUCAUACCAACAGUCACUCACACAGUAUCCAUGGCACAAAAUACAAACCACUACACAGUGGAGAAUUCAGGAGGUAGUCUCACACCAGUAAAUAAAUACCUUAAUUUUUUUGGAACAUCAUCAUAAGUUUUAAAGCCACUAACAAAACUAAUAUAUCAGAGUCUAUUUUAGCAACAUUUGACAGCUGUACAUGUACUAUGCAACUUGUUUACUUACUGCUGUUUGUUAGCAGUACGUGAAACAUAUAAAUAAUGUUUUGCCAAGAUAUGACCCAGCUGAUCAUUAUUAACUAGUUUGAACAUUCUGAAACAGCAUUAGCUCCAUUCCAACUGUGCAAUAAUCAUUUUUGAGACAUUUUGCUGAUUUGGUGAGAAUUUAAACAUUUAAAGGCUGUAUUAGUUAACAAAUAUGUUUGAAAGUAAAGCUAGAAGCAUCAAUGUUUAAUUUGAAAUUGUGUAUGGUGAAAAAUGUUGGACUUACGUAAUGAAUAAAAUAAUAAUAAACC
rnacentral:misc_RNA from 1 species